AUUGAACGCUGGCGGCAUGCUUUACACAUGCAAGUCGAACGGUAACAGGCCUUCGGGUGCUGACGAGUGGCGAACGGGUGCGUAAUGCAUCGGAACGUACCCAGAGGUGGGGGAUAACGCAGCGAAAGCUGUGCUAAUACCGCAUGUGAUCUGAGGAUGAAAGCGGGGGACCGAGCAGCAAUGUUUGGCCUCGCGCCUUUGGAGCGGCCGAUGUCGGAUUAGCUAGUUGGUGGGGUAAAGGCCUACCAAGGCGACGAUCCGUAGCUGGUCUGAGAGGACGACCAGCCACACUGGGACUGAGACACGGCCCAGACUCCUACGGGAGGCAGCAGUGGGGAAUUUUGGACAAUGGGCGCAAGCCUGAUCCAGCAAUGCCGCGUGCGGGAAGAAGGCCUUCGGGUUGUAAACCGCUUUUGGCAGGAACGAAACGGUGUCCGCUAAUACCGGGCGCUAAUGACGGUACCUGCAGAAUAAGCACCGGCUAACUACGU
rnacentral:rRNA from 1 species